rnacentral:rRNA from 1 species
CUAGGAUUAGAUACCCUAGUAUGAAUUUUAUAAAAAAUUAUUAUGUAAAGAAAUUUAAAAAUUUUGGCGGUAAUUUAUUUUUUAGAGGGGCUUGUAAAGUAAAAGAAAUUACUCUUUAUAUUUUAUUAAUUUUAGCUUAUUUAUCUCCGUUAUGAAAUUUAAAUUGGAAAAAGUUUAUAAAGUAAUAUUUCAGGUCAAGAUGUAGCAAUUAUUAAGAUUUAUUAGCUAAAAUGAAGAGAGUUUAUAGAUAUUAAAAGGCAGAAUUUAAUUAAAAUUUAAUUUAGUUGUAAUUUAGUUUAGAAAAAUAAAAUGAAUUAAAGUAAAUUAUGUACAUAUUGCCCGUCACUUCUGAAAAUUAAAGAAUAAGUCGUAACAA